ensembl:lncRNA
ACUUUACUUUGUCAGUUCUCUUAAGACAAGAGGGCUGUAGGGUAUUUUCUUGACACGAGAUAGCUCAGCCCUCCUGAUCAAAAUUUUUUGGAAAACCAGUCUUCAUCCUUAGCUCUAUGCUGAGGGAUUGGACAGUGAGGUCAAAGUCAUUAGUCCCUGACAAAAGCCUUAGCAGCUCCCACUAAGCAUACUUGGUAGGAUUUGCUGUUGUUGCUUGUAAUUUUGGAUUAAAAGUAUUCCCUUCUCGACAACCGGGAUUUUCAGUGCAGCCUCAUCUGACUGAAUCUGGGCACAUUCGCAGGAGCAGAGAGAUCUUGUGUCACAGCAGCACAGGUGGGGGAGACCCUUGGGCACAGGGCUGCACCCUGCACAUGAGGCCCCUUUGAAAUGCAGCUUUUCCUUUAACUGUAAAGUUGAAAGGAAAAUGGAGACUGGGAAAAACAAUAUGCAUCAAAACUUAGAGACCAAAUAAUCCUUUUGUAGGAAGUAUCCAGAGAUAGCCCUGAUCAUUUCAUUUAUACCUCUUACAAUGACAAAGGUACUUGUGACAUCCAAGCUGUUCUUACAGCUUUGUUUUUCUCUGCUUGCCCAUUACAGCAUUUUCUACUCCUGAAACAGCUCCUCACUGAUUAAACUGGUGAUGUUUCACUCAGGUUUUUCACAGAAGUUAUCUCUUCUUACCCCACUCCUUUAUUUCCUGUUGGCUGUACCAAAUUUGUAUCAGAAAAAGCUGUGAACAAAUAGAUAUUCGCAUUUUAAAAUUCAUAUGUAUACUGCUUUAUCUCAUACCUACACCAGAAUAAUCUCAAACAACUUGCAUGAAUUAUAACAUGGUAUUUUUAUUUACUUUUACUAUCUGCUUAUUACCAUUUAAAAAACACACAAAAACAACAACAAAAAAAAACCCCACAAUAGAAAUAAAAGUGCAAUAAUCUAUGGGAAUGCAAAAUAUAAGUAUCUGCUUUAGAUACACAGAGGCAAAGAAAUUAAAAGAGACUUAAACUCUGAGCUAAUGUUUCAUCCCUAAUUUAUUCCCUUGUACCCAUAUAUGGAACACUCAGCACAAUGAAUCUGUGAAAAGACACAUUAAUGUGUUCUGGAACUGUGUACAAUAAAUUGAUGGGGAAUUUAAUGUAACUCUGAUCAGAGACUGGGUUAGCGGUUUCAGUGAUGAAUAAUGUCAGGCAAAUAAUUUAUAUUUUAAUUUGGGCUUUCUUUAGUUGUUUUGCUUUUAUUCAUACCCCAAAUACUUUUGGGGAAGGAGGCUUCUGCUGAGGCAUCCUAUACAAGGCACUGAAUGUUUGACAGCAGUCAGUACUUUGUGAUUUAACUGCAGUGGUAUUUCUUAAAAGUAAGAGGUCAUAUGUCACAAAGCAAUGUCAGGGUCUGAACCUCUUCUCUUAAAGAUUACUAAAAAUUGUUAAUCCCAUUUGCAACAGGAAGAAUAUACUAGUCCUAAUAUUGCAGAGUAUGUUUGUACUCAAAACAUGUUCACAAGUUCUUAUAAUUCUAUAUUCUAAGGAAGUAAAAAUAUAUUACAUAGUAUUGACAUUAAAUUGAACAGAAACUCAUGCUCUGUGAUAGAUUAUUUCCAAGAAGAAAAGCUUGUUUUUCCAAGUUCUUCCUGCCUCAAGAUUACUUUUUUAGAUUUGCUAUGAAAUAAACCAAGAUUUUUAAAGGGUGGAUAUUUGGAAAAAAAUACAGAAACAAUGUAAUCUUUCCACUGUAAAUACCCACGCUGUACUGACAAAGGAAACUAGAAGGUGCAUGCAGAAUCACUGCAAAUAAAUUGCCACAUGUGCUGUAUCUCAUAGAACUGCUGAACAGUUUUUAUUACAUUUUUGUUCAUUGGUGAUUGCUAUAGAGAUCUCUGCAUUGCAAGUAGCCACACCAUUUUAGUGCUUUGCUGUUUCAGAAGAGCAGAUUUUCUUGAUUAAUAACAAAAGGUUUUGUUGGGAUCAGAGCUGUUUCCCACCAUCUCUAUGCAAACCCGGCAACACAAACUGUGUACAUUAGCAUUUCAAGGAGCCUCCUAUUAAUGAUGGCAAGAAAAGCUUCUCUCGGUGGGUAAAAUCCAUUUUGUCCUCUCUUGUGACAUCUGUUCUAACUUUUAAAGCCAGAAAGGAAACUAGAUAAUGCCAGAGAGUCUUUUGAUUUACUGUAUUGGCACUUGUGAUGAUGCUUCAGACUAUAAAAGCAUGUAACCCUAGUGGACAUACAUGACUGUGUAAAUGUGAACAUCUGCAUAUUCCCACAACAUAGGGUGAAUUGAACAAGUAAUUCCAAAGUUCUUUGUUAAACUUUUAACUAUCUUUUCUUUUUUCAAGAUUUCAUAAUUAUACUUUCAAUUACUUCUAUGCCAUACAAAAUUCAACAUUUAAAAUUGUAUUUUUAUGUAAAUGUUUAUUGCUACAUGUGCUUUUUUAAUUAAUUUCAUUUCCCAAAAGCUUUUCUUUUUCUUACAUUUUUGUGAGUGAAGGCAUUUAAGCAAAUAGAGUUGGAGUUACUGAAACAUGGUUAAAAAAAUAAAACCCCAAACAGCGCAGAAUAAGAAAACGUAAACUAAACCCUGCAGAUUUCUUACCUCUUUACACCAUCUGUGCAGUAUUGCUCUUAGGCCUUUUACAUUGGUCAUCCUGGGAACAAAGCUGAAGGCAGAUUCCAGCAGUUUUUCCAUUCACUAUUCAUUCAGAGGUUCAUCAGCUCCAUAUGGAUCCAGCCAACUGCUGUGUUAAAUCAGAGCCUUUUCCCAGAAUUGACAUGGUAAUGAAGUCAUGGUAUUGCUCACAGAAAAGGCCUCCAUAGGUAUUUCCCUCUCUAACAAAUCCAGCCUUUUCACCCCAUUCACUCCCUAAAAUUAUCUCAUAACAUUACAACAUCUGUGAACUGGAUUUUUGCCUUUUAAUGUCUAGCAUGUUUUAUUACAUGACUAUGCAUUACGUACUGGUUAACAAGACUCCUACAUAACCAAGGACAUAAACUUGCACUCUUCCCAGCUCAGAUUGUUUCAUACCCUUUUAAUUUAUAUCUACUAUAUUUAUUUUUCUGCAGAUAGAGCUGUCCAAACUAUUGAUAUACAAAAUGAACUUUAAUUUUUUUUUCAAUCAGAAAGUGGCUUCAGAAGUAUUCCAGAAUGAAAAAUUGUUUAACCACAAAAUGGUAAAUCCAUCAAUACAAAAAUUUGCUAAAGAUAGUAUGCAUUAAUAGCAACUACGUUCUAAAAGUUUCCUUCAGUUCAUCAUAUGUAUGAGCUUUGCUUUAACAGCAAUGAUUUAAGAUUUUUAAGGAAUAAAUAUGAGAAAGUUUAUUUCUGCAAUAUUUCAUCUGCAAUAAAUAUGUAGAUACUGCCUUGAUAUGAAAACACAAGGUAGCUUUAUUGGAAAAGUAUGUCUUACAUGUAACAAUAAUGUACUUGAACAAAUGUGAUCUAUAAAAUGGGUAUCAUUACAGAUGUGAAUGUGUGCCCAAGGUUAGCCAUGUGCUGACUGAAGAGAUUGGUCUGUUACUUACAGUCAGUGUAGGUUUGUGAGAUGGUUGUGAAACAUGUUUCCCUUCUGGUUUGCAUGUAUGCUGACAUUAUUUUUCUGGUUGAGUUAGCACUGUGUUGGUAAAUUCUGGUGUUUUGGACUGGAAAGCAGAAAGAUGCAGAAAGAUAAAGUACACACAAUUCCACUUCUGCACCCCAGCAUAAGACCCAUGCAAGUGCCUCAGCCAGAGAGAAGCAGUCUGGCUUACAAACAGACAGUGGGUGCAUGGGACAAGUGACUAAAGACUCUUCUUAGAGAAACUGUCCAUGGUAUCCCUCCUGACUACUCUUACAGUGCUGGUCCCAGCACCUCAAGGCACACACAGCAGAGUUACUCCAUGUGCAGACAAGGAGUAAACUAAAAGUAAACUAAAAUUAUCAAAGGAAUAGAACAGUUGCUCUAAGAAGAAAUAAGUGACUAAAAAAUAUUAGAGUUCCAAUUUGAUGAGGAGCUAGCUGAGAGAGGGAAUAUAAGUAAGGUUUCUAGAAUCACAAAGCAGAAGUCUUCAGUAACUUUUGCAAUUCUAAAACUAGGGGUCACUUGAUGAAAUCAGUAAGUGAUUGAUUUAAAAGAGGUAAAAGCAUCUCUUUAUAAAGCACCUACUGAACUUCUGGAGCCUGCUGAUGCAGAAGGGUAAGGAGGGAAACUGCAAGUGUAGAAUCAUUAAAAAAUGAGAUAACUUGAUGGACCAUGAGUCCAUAAGCAGAUGCUGAAAGAGCUAAGCAGGGCUACAGUCUAACAUCCCUAACACAACCACUCCAGGUGUGGGAGGAAAGUGAAGAAGAAUGAAUUGCAGAAAGUGACCAGGCUAGUAUGGUCUCACUAAAUAACAUUUCCUGUUUCUGCUUUCAGAGACCACACCUGGGCAUCUGGACACUGGUCUGACCCAACUAGUGUCAUUGCAAAGUUCUGGUUUACAUCUUGUGAAUGUCAUUCAGCCACCACUCUAGAGCUUAGUGUUCAUUCUGCUGAAGCAAUGACUGCCAUACUCUGCCAAAACUGGCGUCAAACAGAGAUCUGCUAUUCAAAGUAAAGCCCUCUAAAGGUAGAUGGAGCAUAAGACCAAGUCAUAGAGAACAAGGAACUGCUUUGAAGCUGAAACUGAGAGAUAUCUUAUUUUCAUCUGACACAAAAAUUAUAGUGUCUCCAGUAUCAGAAGACACACUUUAUCAGUGAGUGAAAAUUAAUGAGUUUUUUUUUUUUUUGGGGGGGGGGGGGGCUCCAACUGAAUAUCAGAGACCACAUAUAGUCACUGACAGCAUCUGUGCUGGAUUAGUUCCUGGGAAAAAGUAUCCUUGUCUGUGCUUACUGCAGUGAGGUGCACCAUCACCAUCAUGAUUCUUGAGAUGUAUGUUACUCAGUCAAAAAGGAGCAACAAAAAAUACUGGUACAACACAUAUGCUCUUUAUGGGUGAAUUAACUACUUAUUAGUUAGAUUAGCCAAACAAACAUCUUUAAUCCUGACAUUUUUAAGCCUGUGAUGUUUAAGAAUACAAAGGUCCAAGACUGAAGAUAUUUCUUCUAUACUUGUAAUUUAAAAGGUCUAGAGUGACAGCUCCACCAGCACAGUUACUCAGAAACAUCACCCAGGGUGCACCCAAGCCUGACCUGGGAUAAAUGCCAAUAGCCCCAAGAAGAGUAAAGAAGCACUUGAUGAACAUGAACAACAUCCUUAAAAUACUUCUGGCAAUUGGGAAAAAAAAAAAA